CCGCUCAUUUGCAUAAUCGUGCCAAUUAUUAUAUCAUGUCACCGUGAAUGAACCUGGUCGGGACUCGAAGUGUGAACCCACCGUCUGGAGAAGUUCCCUCUCUCAUACACUCAGAAAGUAGAGGUGGAGGUUGGUGACAUCAACUCAGACUUCAGGGUUUCCAGUGGAGAACUGACAAGACUUGGAGUGACGUCAUGUCAGUAACGAGAGCUGAAUCAAAUUUUAAUUAUGGAUGACCAAAAAGGUCUAAACGCUCGUAGAACUAUAUCAAUCAGGUUAUGCUGUUUCCUGCUAAUUUAUCGAAUGUAUAGUAAAGUGUGUAGCAACAAAACAAUUACAGUGGAACCUCGAUACUCGCGACCUUGACACUCACGACCUUGAUAGUUUGCGACUUUUUCAACUCGUGAACAAUCUGAUUUCACGAGAAGCCGCGAGUGGCUCGAAAGUUAGGAGCAACAUUUCAAAACAAGUAACAUUUUGGCUCAGAAUGAUAACAUUUUACUAUCUGUAUGUCUUAAGAUGAUUUCUUGGCUUUUUUCACCCUGCUACCAUUAGAAAUACGAUGAAAAUCAAGAAUAUAAAACAUCAAACAGGGAACGGAUGUAAAAUCUGGAAUGGAGUUUAGAAAUGUCACGCAAGGAACAUAUUUCCAAUGGAAACCGCCAAUGUUCAUAGACUUUUAUUGUAAAAACUACACCAUGACAGCAUGAUAAAGUGUAACAGCCGGCCUGAUUGAACUCAACAUAAAGACCAUGAAGCAAAACUGAACUAAAACCCAGACGUCUAAAACACCCAUCAGGCACUUGGGAGGGAAAAAUUAAAAUAAAACGAGUUGUAACAGACACAGGAAGUGAGUGCAGCAAUGAAAGAUCAUCAUCUUCCACAUCUUCCUCAUGAUUUACAUUAAAGAGUUAAUGGGAGUGUUUCAGUGAUUCAACAUCGCUAAAGAUGCACAUUUCAUCACAUAGUAACAAUAUUUUCAAGAUUUCUAAGCACGUCGUAUAUAAUCCAUUAUACAUCGUGUGUCUCUGCAUCACCCCGUCCACCUGACGUUAACAUCAAGAACAUUAUCUGGUGUCUUGUCCUCCAGUGGUCUCUCUCUCUCUCUCUCUCUCUCUCUCUCUCUCUCUCUCACACACACACUCAAUAAAAUCGCUCACAAUGAUCACCGCUCGACUCCGCCCUUUAUGUUCACGUCAUAAUUUUGCCUAUAUAUUUUUUUUUGUCCUAUAACGAACGUUUGUUUUCUUGGCUAUAAUAUUUGUAAAGGAGGCUCAGGAAUAAAUAUUGGCACCCUUCAUUUAACCUCCAUCUCAUGCAGCAGGAGAAUUUUGCUAAAUUUAAAACUAAAAUAAAAAAGUUAUAAUAUACAUUUAGGGUUGUGUGAGGAUCAGGUCUCAUUAAAAAAAAAAAAACAAAAAAAAAAAAAAAAAAAAAAAACAAAACAUUCAUCACUGAAGGGUGCCAAUAUUUUUUUUGUAAAAGGUGGAGGGGAAGCGGGGUGUACAGUGUAAUCCCCCAAUCAAACUAAAAGCAAUGUCCUGAACAAACAUCAGUCACCAGACCUGUUUUUUUUUUUUGUUCUAAAGGGUGGCAAUAUUUUUUUUCUUUUCCCCAACAACAGGUAGAUGAUGAUAAUAUUAGUGAUGUUAAGAUGGAGGACUUAAGUAACUUGCUGGAGGAAAACACAGACUGUUGUGUUCGUGGCUUCAAAGAAGGAAAAAAAUGUAAAAACAAAAAACAAAGAAAACACCUUAUUGCACAUUACGAUGUUUCUCUAAAAGUGAUUUUUGCAUCAUUUGUUAUUUUUAAACCAAACGGCUGCUCUAUUGCUACACGCAGCACUGAUCAACAGAAUUGAAGUACAUUAGAGGGGUCUUGGUGGUGCUUCAUAAUAAUGGGGGUUACUGAUGGUGGUGUUUGUUGAUGGUGGUGUUUGUUGUUGGUGGUGCUUCAUAAUAAUGGGGGUUACUGAUGGUGGUGUUUGUUGAUGGAGGUUAUUAUUGGUGGUGUUUGUUGAUGGUGGUGUUUGUUGAUGGAGGUUAUUAUUGGUGGGGUUUGUUGGUGGAGGUGUUUGUUGAUGAAGGUUAUUAUUGGUGGGGUUUGUUGUUGGUGGAAUUUACAAUGGUGGUUAUUAAUGAUGUUUUUAUUUGAAGGUGGUAUCUGUUAAUGGUGGUGUCUAGUGUUAUUAAUGGUGUUUGUUGAUGAUGGUGGUG